AAGGAAGGAAACAGGAGUGUAGUCUUGCAAACUUGCAGUUACUAAACACUUUUUCUUCACGGAGGCUCCGAAGAUCUCACAGUGCUCCUAGUCCGUUCCUAAAAGACCACCAGGCAGAGAACAGCUUCCGUUUUCACUACCACAACCCUAGGAACCAAACCUAGGAAACCUGUGCCAUUGAAGUUCCUGUUCUGCGGUUCCUGCAGCCCAACCAUAAGCUGAAAAUGGCUCCCAGCCUUUUGCAAGCAUCAAUGCUAUAGAAAGCGAAAGGGCUACAGACAGAGAUGUCUAAGGUGAUAUCUUCUGCUUGCACCCGCAAAGAUGAGCUAUCCUGCUCCCUCCGGACCCCACCCCCAGGGGAGUGGACCUUCUGAUGUUGGUUUUGUCUUUACCUGUCCUAAGCCAUGGCAUUUUGCAAGAACAACAGAAACCCUGACUAGGACUCUUCCAUAGGUUCUAAAGGAAAGGAAACUCAGAAUACAUCUUCUGGGGGACAGGUGGACCAUGCCAUCAGACAAGAGAACUGGUAAGGUUGACUGAGCUCAACCCACUGAAUCAAAGAAUUAAGAAAGGGUGCAACAAAUCACUAUUGCUGCAGGGAACACCGUGACCAAUAAUCAAGUUGAGAGGAAAGGCUGAUUCGGCUUACUCUUCCAUACCACUGUUUGUCAUCACAGCAAGUCAUGACAGGAACUCAAGACAUGGCAGGAACCUGGAGGCAGGAGCUGAUGCAGAGGCCAUGGGCAUUUUUUCAGUUGAGGCUCCUUCCUCUCUG